UUCCUAUCAAGAGUGGUGGAGGGACUGGCCCUAUGAAACCCGGCAACCGGCAUUUUUUUUAUGAGCACGGUGCUAAAUCCUGCAGAAUUUAUUCUGGGAGAUAGUAA
rnacentral:ncRNA from 1 species